rnacentral:rRNA from 1 species
GAUCCUGGCUCAGGAUGAACGCUGGCGGCGCGCCUAACACAUGCAAGUCGAACGGCACCUAUCUUCGGAUAGAAGCGAGUGGCGAACGGCUAAGUAACACGUGGAGAACCUGCCCCCUCCCCCGGGAUAGCCGCCCGAAAGGACGGGUAAUACCGGAUACCCCCGGGCGCCGCAUGGCGCCCGGGCUAAAGCCCCGACGGGAGGGGAUGGCUCCGCGGCCCAUCAGGUAGACGGCGGGGUGACGGCCCACCGUGCCGACAACGGGGUAGCCGGGUUGAG